GAAUCCGGUUGAUCCUGCCGGACCCCACUGCUAUCGGGAUGAGACUAAGCCAUGCUAGUUGAACGCCUCGAAGCCAAGGUCGGGGCGUAGCGUACGGCUCAGUAACACGUGGCUAACCUACCCUUGGGGCGGGGAUACCCCCGGGAAACUGGGGCUAAUACCCGAUAGAUGAGGAGUCCUGGAACGGUUCCUCGUCCAAAAGGUGUCGCAACCACGCAGGCGACGCUGCCCAAGGAUGGGGCCGCGGCCGAUCAGGUAGUUGGUGAGGUAACGGC
rnacentral:rRNA from 1 species